rnacentral:rRNA from 2 species
AAACCAACCGGGAUUGCCUCAGUAACGGCGAGUGAAGCGGCAAAAGCUCAAAUUUGAAAUCUGGCACUUUCAGUGUCCGAGUUGUAAUUUGUAGAAGUAGUUUUGGGACUGGUCCUUAUCUAUGUUUCUUGGAACAGGACGUCAUAGAGGGUGAGAACCCCGUAUGAUGAGGCCCCCAGUCCUUUGUAAAACGCUUUCGAAGAGUCGAGUUGUUUGGGAAUGCAGCUCUAAGUGGGUGGUAAAUUCCAUCUAAAGCUAAAUAUUGGCGAGAGACCGAUAGCGAACAAGUACAGUGAUGGAAAGAUGAAAAGAACUUUGAAAAGAGAGUGAAAAAGUACGUGAAAUUGUUGAAAGGGAAGGGCAUUUGAUCAGACAUGGUGUUUUGCGCCCUUUGCUCCUUGUGGGCGGAGGAUACGCAGCUCACUGGGCCAACAUCAGUUUUGGGAGCAGGAUAAAUCUGUAGGAACGUAGCUUUCUUCGGGAAGUGUUAUAGCCUAUGGGAAUACUGCUACCUGGGACUGAGGACUGCGUCUUUUGACAAGGAUGUUGGCAUAAUGGUUAAAUGCCGC